UACAGAGGGUGCAAGCGUUGCUCGGAAUUACUGGGCGUAAAGCGCGUGUAGGUGGUCACCCCAGUCGGAUGUGAAAGCCCAGGGCUCAACCCUGGACGUGCAUUCGAUACUAGGUGGCUGGAGUCUCGGAGAGGAUAGCGGAAUUCCCGGUGUAGAGGUGAAAUUCGUAGAUAUCGGGAGGAACACCAGUGGCGAAGGCGGCUAUCUGGACGAGUACUGACACUGAGACGCGAAAGCAUGGGGAGCAAACAGG
rnacentral:rRNA from 1 species